UAUUUCUGGGGGGAGGCACCGUUUGGGAUUUCUCCCACAAGGGAAAAAUUUUGGAGGGACAACCCCCGCUGAAGGAAGAAGGGUUUCGGUUGGAAAAAUUUGGUUUUUAAAGAAGAACAUUUUUGAGAGUAACUGUUCAGGUAUUGACGGUAUUUAACCAGAAAGCCAGGGCUAAUUACGUGCCAGCAGCCGCGGUAAUACGUAGGUGGCCAGCGUUGUCCGGAUUUAUUGGGCGUAAAGCGAGCGCAGGCGGUUUUUUAAGUCUGAUGUGAAAGCCUUCGGCUCAACCGAAGAAGUGCAUCGGAAACUGGGAAACUUGAGUGCAGAAGAGGACAGUGGAACUCCAUGUGUAGCGGUGAAAUGCGUAGAUAUAUGGAAGAACACCAGUGGCGAAGGCGGCUGUCUGGUCUGUAACUGACGCUGAGGCUCGAAAGUAUGGGUAGCAAACAGGAUUAGAUACCCUGGUAGUCCAUACCGUAAACGAUGAAUGCUAAGUGUUGGAGGGUUUCCGCCCUUCAGUGCUGCAGCUAACGCAUUAAGCAUUCCGCCUGGGGAGUACGGCCGCAAGGCUGAAACUCAAAGGAAUUGACGGGGGCCCGCACAAGCGGUGGAGCAUGUGGUUUAAUUCGAAGCUACGCGAAGAACCUUACCAGGUCUUGACAUACUAUGCAAAUCUAAGAGAUUAGACGUUCCCUUCGGGGACAUGGAUACAGGUGGUGCAUGGUUGUCGUCAGCUCGUGUCGUGAGAUGUUGGGUUAAGUCCCGCAACGAGCGCAACCCUUAUUAUCAGUUGCCAGCAUUAAGUUGGGCACUCUGGUGAGACUGCCGGUGACAAACCGGAGGAAGGUGGGGAUGACGUCAAAUCAUCAUGCCCCUUAUGACCUGGGCUACACACGUGCUACAAUGGAUGGUACAACGAGUUGCGAACUCGCGAGAGUAAGCUAAUCUCUUAAAGCCAUUCUCAGUUCGGAUUGUAGGCUGCAACUCGCCUACAUGAAGUCGGAAUCGCUAGUAAUCGCGGAUCAGCAUGCCGCGGUGAAUACGUUCCCGGGCCUUGUACACACCGCCCGUCACACCAUGAGAGUUUGUAACACCCAAAGUCGGUGGGGUAACCUUUAGGAACCAGCCGCCUAAGGUGGACAGAGAUGGA
rnacentral:rRNA from 1 species